rnacentral:rRNA from 1 species
GAUGAACGCUGGCGGCGUGCCUAAUACAUGCAAGUCGAGCGAACAGACGAGGAGCUUGCUCCUCUGACGUUAGCGGCGGACGGGUGAGUAACACGUAGGUAACCUACCUAUAAGACUGGGAUAACUUCGGGAAACCGGAGCUAAUACCGGAUAAUAUUUCGAACCGCAUGGUUCGAUAGUGAAAGACGGCCUUGCUAUCACUUAUAGAUGGACCUGCGCCGUAUUAGCUAGUUGGUAAGGUAACGGCUUACCAAGGCAACGAUACGUAGCCGACCUGAGAGGGUGAUCGGCCACACUGGAACUGAGACACGGUCCAGACUCCUACGGGAGGCAGCAGUAGGGAAUCUUCCGCAAUGGGCGAAAGCCUGACGGAGCAACGCCGCGUGAGUGAUGAAGGUCUUCGGAUCGUAAAACUCUGUUAUUAGGGAAGAACAAACGUGUAAGUAACUGUGCACAUCUUGACGGUACCUAAUCAGAAAGCCACGGCUAACUACGUG